AUGACGGUAGAUCGGAAGGACGCUGAGGCGGCGGCGGCGGCGGCCGCACCCUUCGAGAUCCCGGCGCUCCAGCCUGGAAGAACUUGUGGAGCAGAGGAAAGUACCCGGAGUCAUGUUCUCGUCAAACCAAUAGGAAGCAGUAAUCUUCCCUGUAAUGAAUAUGCACUCUUGGCGCGGCAAAACCCCAAGGGAGAUGCGCAGCCAGUGGCAUCUAUUCUGCGGAAAAAGCGACCUCGGAGAUCACGUGAUGGGCCUAAUUCAGUCUCUGAAACGAUCAGGCGAUGGAAAGAAGUGAACCAACAACUGGAGCAUGAUCCACAGGGUGCAAAGAGGGCGAGGAAGCCACCUGCAAAGGGUUCAAAGAAGGGCUGUAUGCAGGGGAAAGGAGGACCUGAGAAUACACAAUGUGGAUUCCGUGGUGUAAGGCAACGUACUUGGGGGAAGUGGGUUGCUGAAAUUCGGGAGCCAAAUCGGGUGAGCAGGCUCUGGUUGGGAACGUUCCCCACUGCUGAGGAUGCUGCCCGUGCUUAUGACGAGGCAGCCAGAGCAAUGUAUGGCGCACUGGCUCGUACCAACUUCCCUGUGCAUCCUGCACAAGCUCCUGCUGUGGCUGUAGCAGCGGCAAUUGAAGGUGUUGUACGUGGUGCUUCAGCAUCAUGUGAGUCUACUACAACAUCCACCAACCACUCAGAUGUUGCUUCUUCCUUGCCGCGACAAGCUCAAGCUCUUGAGAUUUACUCCCAGCCAGAUGUGCUUGAGUCCACCGAAUCAGUUGUGCUUACUCCUGUUGAGCAUUACAGCCAUCAAGACAGUGUUCCUGACGCUGGCUCAAGCAUUGCAAGGAGCACAUCCGAAGAGGAUGUGUUUGAGCCAUUGGAGCCUAUUUCCAGUUUGCCGGAUGGGGAAUCUGACGGUUUUGAUAUAGAAGAAUUAUUAAGAUUGAUGGAAGCCGACCCAAUUGAAGUUGAGCCGGUCAACGGGGGCUCCUGGAAUGGGGUGGAGAUUGGCCAGCAGGAACCUCUCUACCUGGAUGGCUUGGACCAAGGCAUGCUGGAGGGCAUGCUGCAGUCUGAUUAUCCUUACCCAAUGUGGAUAUCAGAGGAUCGGGCCAUGCACAACCCUGCCUUCCAUGAUGCUGAGAUGAGCGAGUUCUUCGAAGGGUUGUGA
rnacentral:rRNA from 1 species